UCAUUAUCACUAUCAUGGUGUAUUGUUGCCAUUGAGGAAUCUUCCCAUGUAGCAAAUUUACCUAGAAAAUACAAAACUUUGGCAUAUCACCAUCAGGUGCAGACGUACUCUUUCUCCCAAAUACUACAGCAGUAUCCCUACAAUCAGAUGUACAAAAAUUUGCUUGCUAAAAAACUAAUCAAUAAACCAUGAAAUUUAAAUGGAUUAAUUAAGGAUCAAGCCACUCACCUUGUGGCUACAAUCGACCAGAUUCAUCUCUCCACGUUUCUGCAUGUGAAGAAUUGAUCAGUGCCCCAAGUCAAAACUACUGCAUACCUUAUACAUGAAGCCCUUACUCAAAAUUCAGAAUAUAUGCAGAAUAUCCAUUUUAAUUGACAUAGCUAUCUGCAGUCCUAGACAAAAUGUGACCAUAAUCCACACUACUACACAUGAAUUACUAUAUAGCUACCUUAUGGGGGCCUAUAUGCCUGAUCC
rnacentral:lncRNA from 1 species